UGCCUACGGGGGGCAGCAGUGGGGAAUAUUGGACAAUGGGGGGAACCCUGAUCCAGCGACGCCGCGUAUAGGAAGAAGUUUUUCGGAAUGUAAACUAUUGUCGUUAGGGAAGAGAAAGGACAGUACCUAAGGAGGAAGCUCCGGCUAACUACGUGCCAGCAGCCGCGGUAAUACGUAGGGAGCGAGCGUUAUCCGGAAUUAUUGGGUGUAAAGGGUGCGUAGACGGGAAAACAAGUUAGUUGUGAAAUCCCUCGGCUUAACUGAGGAACUGCAACUAAAACUAUUUUUCUUGAGUGCAGGAGAGG
rnacentral:rRNA from 1 species